UGAGUCUUGGCAUCAUGAAGAGAGU
rnacentral:misc_RNA from 1 species